UAGAGGAAUUGUUUGACGAAGUGGAUUUUGGUUGAUCUAUGACAUAGAGAAAUUGAACUCCGCGAGUGGUGGUAGAACUUGUUGUAUGCUAAAACGCCAAGGUGAUAUGCGAGGCGGGAUAUGAAGAUGGCCAUGUGGAGUAGACUUUUUGGGAGCUCUUUUGAAGAUCACAUAUGCAUAUACAUCUAGUUUUUGUAUAUUAUUUUGGGGACUUGUACAUGAUACAUGUGUGGCACUUAUUUAUGAAAUUUUAAAGGCUUGUAACUUAAACCAAGUGACUAAUUUUGUUAUUUUAGAGUGUGCUUUUAACUCAAGUAAUGCAAUAUACUAGGUCAUAUUUUGACUUGUCAUUAUGCACGAAGGAAGAUAA